CCUCAUUUUUAUUGGCAUGCAAACAUCUGAAUAAAAGUCAACCUUGUGUGCAAAUGUACUACUAAUGACAGACCGCCAGGAAUUUUAACCGGUUUAUCCCAGAGACUUCACCGAACACAUGCAAAUUAGAGUCCUGGGUAUGAAUCCUACAGAUAUACUGCCUGUUAGCAGGCUAACUACUGCCUGAUAGCAGGCUAACUACUGUCUGAUAACAAGCCAACUACUGCUUGUUAUCAGACUAAACCCUCUAACCUUGAGGCAGUCAUCUCGUUGCUGUCGUGCAGCUUUCGUUGUCAAGGUACAUUGGUAGGUAACCGUCGAUCGCGAGGUACAUUUUAUCCACACAUGUUCAUAAUAAUCCAUAAAUGUUCGUUGUAAUCCGUUAAUGUUCAAAAUUAUCCAUAAAUGUUCACAAUAUUUCCAAAAGUACACAGUGUCACAGUAAUCCUUAUUUAUCCAUUGGUAUCUGUUACGACUCCCAUUGGCCCUCCCAUCAGACACCUCAAAUGACGUUUUGGUCAGUUUUAAUUUUUUUGGUAAAUAUUUUUAAUACAAUUAUUAAUCAAUAGCAUCUGCAAGAAACACAUUAACCAGUCAAAAACCAUGAAAUUCUUGAAAGAUUAAACCUCAAAGAAUGUUUAUAUUAAAGAUAUUCAAGCCAAAAUCCCAAAGUCUACAUCAAAAUGAUAACGGGAAAACGCUGGAUAACGCCAUACAGACAAAAAGCCGGCCACAAAUCAAAGUUUGGUGGUACUUUGGCUUGAUCUUUCCAGGCCUACAGGCGAGCUGUCCCAAUCUCAUGCCACGAACAAAAAGCACAAACGCAAGGUUGGCCAGACCAACACCGCAGAAAAACGUCUGUGCAUGCACCAAAUU